rnacentral:tRNA from 1 species
UGGGAUGUCGUCUAAUGGUAGGACCGCAGCCUUUGGAGCUGUGUAUUUUGGUUCGAAUCCAAGCGUCCCAG